CCCUUAGGUGUUCUGGGCCGCACGCGUGCUACACUGAAGGAAUCAGCGUGGCUUUCUCCCUGACCCGAAAGGGUUGGGAAACCCGUUGAAUCUCCUUCGUGAUAGGGAUUGGGGCUUGAAAUUGUUCCCCAUGAACGAGGAAUUCCCAGUAAGCGCGAGUCAUAAGCUCGCGUUGAUUACGUCCCUGCCCUUUGUACACACCGCCCGUCGCUACUACCGAUUGAACGGUUUAGUGAGGGCCUCGGAUUGGUCUCGGCCCGCUCUUUACCGGGCGGCGCCGUUGGUCGAGAAGACGCUCGAACUUGAUCGUUUAGAGGAAGUAAAAGUCGUAACA
rnacentral:rRNA from 1 species